GACGAACGCUGGCGGCGUGCUUAACACAUGCAAGUCGAACGGAAAGGCCCUGCUUUUGUGGGGUGCUCGAGUGGCGAACGGGUGAGUAACACGUGAGUAACCUGCCCUUGACUUUGGGAUAACUUCAGGAAACUGGGGCUAAUACCGGAUAGGAGCUCCUGCUGCAUGGUGGGGGUUGGAAAGUUUCGGCGGUUGGGGAUGGACUCGCGGCUUAUCAGCUUGUUGGUGGGGUAGUGGCUUACCAAGGCUUUGACGGAUAGCCGGCCUGAGAGGGUGACCGGCCACAUUGGGACUGAGAUACGGCCCAGACUCCUACGGGAGGCAGCAGUGGAGAAUAUUGCACAAUGGGCGGAAGCCUGAUGCAGAAGCGCCGCGUGCGGGAUGACGGCCUUCGGGUUGUAAACCGCUUUCGCCUGUGACGAAGCGUGAGUGACGGUAAUGGGUAAAGAAGCACCGGCUAACUACGUG
rnacentral:rRNA from 1 species